rnacentral:rRNA from 1 species
CGUAGGGUGCGAGCGUUAAUCGGAAUUACUGGGCGUAAAGCGUGCGCAGGCGGUUUUGUAAGCCAGAUGUGAAAUCCCCGGGCUUAACCUGGGAAUGGCAUUUGGGACUGCAAGGCUUGAGUUUGGCAGAGGAGACUGGAAUUCCCGGUGUAGCAGUGAAAUGCGUAGAUAUCGGGAGGAAUACCGAUGGCGAAGGCAGGUCUCUGGGCUAUAACUGACGCUCAUGCACGAAAGCGUGGGGAGCAAACAGGAUUAGAUACCCUGGUAGUCCACGCCCUAAACGAUGUCGACUGGUUGUUGGGGGUUUGACACUCUCAGUAACGAAGCUAACGCGUGAAGUCGACCGCCUGGGGAGGACGGCCGCAAGGUUA